CAGCAGUCGCCGCGGUAAUACGUAGGGUGCAAGCGUUAAUCGGAAUUACUGGGCGUAAAGCGUGCGCAGGCGGUUUGUUAAGACAGAUGUGAAAUCCCCGGGCUCAACCUGGGAACUGCAUUUGUGACUGGCAAGCUAGAGUCUGGCAGAGGGGGGUGGAAUUCCGCGUGUAGCAGUGAAAUGCGUAGAUAUGCGGAGGAACACCGAUGGCGAAGGCAGCCCCCUGGGCCAACACUGACGCUCAUGCACGAAAGCGUGGGGAGCAAACAGGAUUAGAUACCCCUGUAGUCCCUGUCUCUUAUAU
rnacentral:rRNA from 1 species